rnacentral:rRNA from 1 species
GGCCAGACUCCUACGGGAGGCAGCAGUGGGGAAUAUUGCACAAUGGGGGAAACCCUGAUGCAGCGACGCCGCGUGAGCGAAGAAGUAUUUCGGUAUGUAAAGCUCUAUCAGCAGGGAAGAAAUUGACGGUACCUGAGUAAGAAGCUCCGGCUAAAUACGUGCCAGCAGCCGCGGUAAUACGUAUGGAGCAAGCGUUAUCCGGAUUUACUGGGUGUAAAGGGAGCGUAGGCGGCCUGCCAAGUCUGAUGUGAAAUACCGGGGCUCAACCCCGGGGCUGCAUUGGAAACUGGCAGGCUGGAGUGUCGGAGAGGCAGGCGGAAUUCCUAGUGUAGCGGUGAAAUGCGCAGAUAUUAGGAGGAACACCAGUGGCGAAGGCGACGAUCUGGCCUGCAACUGACGCUCAGUCCCGAAAGCGUGGGGAGCAAAUAGGAUUAGAUACCCCUGUA